rnacentral:misc_RNA from 1 species
GAAAUGCGAUAAGUAGUGUGAAUUGCAGAAUUCAGUGAAUCAUCGAAUCUUUGAACGCACAUUGCGCCCCUCGGUAUUCCGUGGGGCAUGCCUGUUCGAGCGUCAUCUACACCCUCAAGCUCUGCUUGGUGUUGGGCGUCUGUCCCGCCUCCUUCGCGCGCGGACUCGCCCCAAAUCCAUUGGCGGCGUCCCUUGCCUCCCUCUCGCGCAGCACAUUGCGCUUCUCGAGGCGCGGCGGACCGCGUCCAGCAAGCAACCGUCACACCGUCUUUGACCUCGGAUCAGGUAGGGAUACCCGCUGAACUUAAGC